UUUGAGAUGACAUGCUUCUUUAUAUCCCCAUAUGGAUUAGGCUACUAUGGAAUGUAAGGAAGUGUGUGGUUUCAGG
rnacentral:pre_miRNA from 1 species